UACGUAGGUGGCAAGCGUUGUCCGGAUUUACUGGGCGUAAAGGGCGUGCAGGCGGUUUGUUAAGUGCAGGGUGAAAGCUCCCGGCUCAACUGGGAGAGGUCCUUGCAUACUGGCAAACUCGAGGGAGGCAGAGGAAAGUGGAAUUCCCGGUGUAGUGGUGAUAUGCGUAGAUAUCGGGAGGAACACCUGUGGCGAAGGCGGCUUUCUGGGCCUUACCUGACGCUGAGACGCGAAAGCGUGGGGAGCGAACAGGG
rnacentral:rRNA from 1 species